CCCCACAUGCCCAACUGCUUUGCAUAAAGGGAUCCCAAGGGGACAGUCUGCAGACCCAGGGACAUAAACUAGGGCUCGCAGCAGAGCAGCCACAGGGGAGGAGACACUGCAAAAUGGGGUCACUGUCCCAGCUUCUCUGCGGUCUCCUCAUGCUUUCGGUCUCAGGUUCCAGGGGGUAAAUUGUGCCGACCCAGUCUCCAGCCUCAGUGUCUGUGACCCCAGGAGAGAGGGUCACCAUCAGCUGCAAGGCCAGUCAGAGUGUCAAACACAGCGAUGGAAACACGUAUCUGACCUGGCUCCAACAGAAACCUGGACAAUCUCCUCGGCUACUCAUUUACAAGGUUACAACCUGGAAGCAGGAGUCCCUGCCCAGUUCAGUGGCAGUGGUGCUGAGAAGGAUUUCACCCUCACAAUAAGCAGUGUGGAGCCUGAAGAUGGGCCCUGAAAAGAUCUCUCUAGAGUCUCCUUUGCCCAACCUUUUCCAUGGAAGACUUCAAUUCCUACAAAGAAGGGGAACAAGAGAUUGGUG
rnacentral:lncRNA from 1 species